CCUAGGGUUUACACCCUAGGCUAGGUAGUGCCGCUCCUUCGGAGCU
rnacentral:sRNA from 1 species